rnacentral:rRNA from 1 species
AGCAUGUGGUUUAAUUCGAAGAUACACGAAGAACCUUUACCAGGUCUUGACAUACCAUUGACAGGCGCAGAGAUGUGCUCUCCUCCGGGCAAUGGAUACAGGUGGUGCAUGGUUGUCGUCAGCUCGUGCCGUGAGGUGUUGGGUUAAGUCCCGCAACGAGCGCAACCCUCAUUGUUAGUUACUACCAUUCAGUUGAGGACUCUAAUGAGACUGCCAACGAUAAGUUGGAGGAAGGUGGGGAUGACGUCAAAUCAUCAUGCCCUUUAUGACCUGGGCUACAAACGUACUACAAUGGCCAAUACAAAGAGAUGCGAAGCGGUGACGUGGAGCGAACCUCAGAAAGUUGGUCUCAGUUCAGAUUGAAGUCUGCAACUCGACUUCAUGAAGGCGGAAUCGCUAGUAAUCGCGGGUCAGCAGACCGCGGUGAAUACGUUCCCGGGUUUU